ACUCUUCGCAAAUUACGCAAGUGCUCCUCCUCCCCCUCGUGUCAAAGCGAGUGUCGAGAUAAAAUCAACCAUCCUUCUUGUCAAGAAAAUAAAAAACACCAUGAGAGUGAAUUACGAAAAAGCAGUCAGUUUGGUUACAAUGCUAACGAAUGUGGGUAAAUCAUCUUGGAAUACUGCUUCAGUGUUCCCAAGCUGGAAUAACAGAAGGUUUUCCUGUUCUUCCCACACUGCCAACAUGGAGUGAACGCAGCAUUGGUCAGGAAAGAUAAAGCAGAAAGAUGUCUCAAGAAUCCCUUUAAAGGAGCCACCAGUGUGCCCAGGGACCGAUGAGCAGCAUCCAGAGACCAGCACUCGUCCCCUGCCCGGAGUCUGAGGAGCAGUGAACUGAAGAGUUGAUGUGUUCAGAAGCCAGUGUAAAUACUCGUCCAGUGAACGCCUCAUUGCUGCCACGAUGGAACACGGAUCCAGCUGGAGGAACAAGUGCUGUGUGGGCUCCCUGAAGUGGUGCAACACUGGGUCACUGGAGAGCCACAACGUGUUUGGGAACAGAACAGUCUGUGUUAUUUCAGCACAGCCUGUUGGAUGAAGGGCCAUUUCACAGGCAUUAUGGAUUAAUCUUUGGCAGGAUCUCCCCAGGAUCAAACAAAACUGGAUGUUUAACCUCACGUGUCCUAGAGCUGAGAGGUCUCUUGUGAUAAACCAGGAUAGAGAGGAUUGAGUCUGACCCACAUUGGGUUAAACAUCACAUACUUGUAAAUUUAUUUAAACUGACUCCUUAUGAAAAGAUGAAAAUAUAAUGUGUAUACACAUCCUUCCUGAGACAUAAUCCAAACCCUGAGAAAUGAUUAAAUUCAUAACAUUAUGCUCCA